UACGGGGGGAGCAAGCGUUGUUCGGAUUUACUGGGCGUAAAGGGCGCGUAGGCGGUCGUGACAAGUCACUUGUGAAAUCUCCGGGCUUAACUCGGAACGGUCAAGUGAUACUGUCGGACUAGAGUACAGAAGGGGCAACUGGAAUUCUCGGUGUAGCGGUGAAAUGCGUAGAGAUCGGGAGGAACACCCGUGGCGAAGGCGGCCAUCUGGACCAGCACUGACGCUGAGGCACGAAAGCGUGGGGAGCAAACAGG
rnacentral:rRNA from 1 species